AUUGAACGCUGGCGGCAGGCCUAACACAUGCAAGUCGAGCGAGCGGCGGACGGGUGAGUAAUGUCUGGGAAACUGCCUGAAGGAGGGGGAUAACUACUGGAAACGGUAGCUAAUACCGCAUACCAUCAGAUGUGCCCAGAUGGGAUUAGCUAGUAGGUGGGGUAACGGCUCACCUAGGCGACGAUCCCUAGCUGUGCUGAGAGGAUGACCAGCCACACUGGAACUGAGACACGGGCCAGACUCCUACGGGAGGCAGAAGGGGGGAAUAUUGUACAAUGGGGGAAAGCCUGAUGCAGCCAUGCCGCGUGUGUGAAGAGGGCCUUCGGGUUGUAAAGCACUUUUGGCGGGGAGGCGUUACCUGCAGAAGAAGCACCGGCUAACUACGUGCCAGCAGCCGCGGUAAUAC
rnacentral:rRNA from 1 species